rnacentral:rRNA from 1 species
GAAAGGGAGGGCAACCCCCCCGGUAGAGUGGCGCACGGGUGAGUAACACGUGGGUAAUCUGCCCUCGAGUUCGGGAUAACCUCGGGAAACCCUGGCUAAUACCGGAUACGUCCAGAUGGACCUCGGUCCUUCUGGAGAAAGGUGGCCUCUGCUUGCAAGCUACCACUCUUGGAUGAGCCUGCGGACCAUUAGCUAGUUGGUGAGGUAACGGCUCACCAAGGCUGUGAUGGUUAGCUGGUCUGAGAGGAUGAUCAGCCACACUGGGACUGGAACACGGCCCAGACUCCUACGGGAGGCAGCAGUGGGGAAUCUUGCGCAAUGGGGGCAACCCUGACGCAGCAACGCCGCGUGGGUGAUGAAGGCCUUCGGGUCGUAAAGCCCUGUCAGGUGGGAAGAAUCCUCUCGGUGCGAACAGCGCCGGGAGAUGACGGUACCACCGGAGGAAGCACCGGCUAACUCCGUGCCAGCAGCCGCGGUAAUACGGAGGGUGCAAGCGUUGUUCGGAAUCACUGGGCGUAAAGCGCAUGUAGGCGGCCGAUUAUGUCGUGUGUGAAAUCCCUCGGCUCAACCGAGGAAGUGCGCACGAAACUGGUCGGCUUGAGUACGGGAGAGGAGGGUGGAAUUCCCGGUGUAGAGGUGAAAUUCGUAGAUAUCGGGAGGAACACCAGUGGCGAAGGCGACCCUCUGGACCGAUACUGACGCUGAGAUGCGAAAGCGUGGGGAGCAAACAGGAUUAGAUACCCUGGUAGUCCACGCUGUAAACGUUGGGCACUAGGUGUGGCGGGUGUUGACCCCUGCCGUGCCGAAGCUAACGCAUUAAGUGCCCCGCCUGGGGAGUACGG